rnacentral:SRP_RNA from 1 species
GCUGGGCGUGGUGGCGGGUGCCUGUAGUCCGAGCUACUCGGGAGGCUGAGGCAGGAGAAUUGCUUGAACCCAGGAGGCGGAGGUUGCAGUGAGCUGAGAUUGCGCCACUGCACUCCAGCCUGGGCGACAGAGCAAGACCCUGUCUCAG